AUAUACUGAAGGCAUUAGUCAGCGAAUGAGGGUCCCAGAAAAGUUAAAAGUAGCACCGCCAAACGCUGACCUGGAACAAGGAUUCCAAGAAGGAGUUCCAAAUGCUAGUGUGGUAAUGCAAGUUCCGGAGAGGAUUGUUGUAGCAGGAAAUAAUGAAGAUGUUUCAUUUUCAAGACCAGCAGAUCUUGACCUUAUUCAGUCAACUCCCUUUAAACCCCUGGCACUGAAAACACCACCUCGUGUACUUACGCUGAGUGAAAGACCACUAGAUUUUCUGGAUUUAGAAAGACCUCCUACAACCCCUCAAAAUGAAGAAAUCCGAGCAGUUGGCAGACUAAAAAGAGAGCGGUCUAUGAGUGAAAAUGCUGUUCGCCAAAAUGGACAGCUGGUCAGAAAUGAUUCUCUGUGGCACAGAUCAGAUUCUGCCCCAAGAAAUAAAAUUUCAAGGUUCCAGGCACCGAUUUCUGCACCGGAGUACACAUGUAAUACACAUUGGAUGACGUUUAGCCUGAUGUUAGUUUUGCCUUGACGUUGAGAAUGUUGAGCCCUCAUUCCACUGUCGUAGUCUUGUGACACCAUCGCCACAACAGGCUCGGGUCUGUCCUCCCCAUAUGUUACCUGAAGAUGGAGCUAAUCUUUCCUCUGCUCGUGGCAUUUUGUCGCUUAUCCAGUCUUCUACUCGUAGGGCAUACCAGCAGAUCUUGGAUGUGCUGGAUGAAAAUCGCA
rnacentral:sRNA from 1 species